rnacentral:misc_RNA from 1 species
AUUUAGUCAGAGAUUAUGCAGGGGAUUCAAUAAUGCGGUUAGUGGAUUUAUUGAUGAUGGUUGGACAAUUAUGGGUAGUGAUGGUGUUGAUGAUGUAACAAUUGCUGUAAACUCAUCACCAAGUAAAUUCCUUGAUGCACAAUACAACACCUUGUCAAUUCUCCCUACUUUUGGAGGAGUACUGUGUGCACGGGCAUCAAUGCUUCUUCAGGAUGUUUGCCCUGCUUUGCUUGUCCGUUUCCUUAGGGAGCACCGUUCGGA